rnacentral:rRNA from 1 species
GACGAACGCUGGCGGCGUGCUUAACACAUGCAAGUCGAACGGAAAGGCCCCUUUGGGGGUACUCGAGUGGCGAACGGGUGCGUAACACGUGAGUAACCUGCCCUUGACUUCGGGAUAACUUCAGGAAACUGGGGCUAAUACCGGAUAGGAAUCCUUGCUGCAUGGUGGGGGUUGGAAAGCUUCGGCGGUUUUGGAUGGACUCGCGGCUUAUCAGCUUGUUGGUGGGGUAGUGGCUUACCAAGGCUUUGACGGGUAGCAGGCCUGCGAGGGCGACCGGUCACAUUGGGACUGAGAUACGGCCCAGACACCUACGGGAGGCAGCAGUGGGGAAGAUUGCACGAUGGGCGGAAGCCUGAUGCAGCAACGCCGCGUGCGGGAUGACGGCCUUCGGGUUGUAAACCGCAUUCAGCAGGAGCGAAGCUUGUGGUGACGGUACCUGCAGAAGAAGCACCGGCUAACUACGUG